CUUCACCGAACCCAGCCACAACGGCAUCCCCUCGGCACGGUCCUGCCCGUAGGUCGCCAACAGAGCCUGCGCCUC
rfam:Saccharomonospora xinjiangensis XJ-54 genomic scaffold Sacxiscaffold_2, whole genome shotgun sequence.